GAAGAUCAUAUUGAAGAUCUUGUGUGACUUGAUCUUGCUAAGAUCAAUGGUAGAGAAGAUCAACAUCAAACAUAGGGUUUGGGGUUUACAUUUCAACUACUUCUUUUGUAAAAUGAUAUUGCAAAGGUUAAUUACAAUAUCUCAAUUCAAUUUCGAAUUGAGGGCAGAUGUACCCAUAGUGAGGAUAAUUGGGGAACUUCCUAAAUAAAUCUUGGUGUUAUCUCU
rnacentral:lncRNA from 1 species